GUUGAGAAGCAAAUGAAUUGAUGGGCCUGGAUGAAUCAACAAGUCCAUCUUCUCCAAUAGGGGCUGGAUCUGGUCCUGACUUUUCAAAGUUAAUAACAACUCCACUUUGGACUUUUUGAACUAGAGAUUCUAAACACUGAUUCAACAUUCUUUGUGUCCGAACACAGUAAGAACGACCUCCUGUAACUUCGCACAUCUGUGUGAUAGCAGAUUCAUCA
rnacentral:lncRNA from 1 species